UGCCUAGCUGGGAUUAGCCUAGUGUGAGGUAAGGGCUCCACCAAGCCGACGAUCCCUAGCUGGUUCUGAGAGGAUGAUCAGCCACCACUGGAACUGAGACACGGUCCAGACUCCUACGGGAGGCAGCAGUGGGGAAUAUUGCACAAUGGGCGCAAGCUUGAUGCAGCCAUGCCGCGUGUGUGAAGAAGGCCUUUCGGGUUGUAAAGCACUUUCAGUCGUGAGGAAGGUAGUGUAGUUUAAUAGCUGCAUUAUUUGACGUUAGCGACAGAAGAAGCACCGGCUAACUCCGUGCCAGCAGCCGUGGUAAUACGGAGGGUGCGAGCGUUAAUCGGAAUUACUGGGCGUAAAGCGCAUGCAGGUGGUUUGUUAAGUCAGAUGUGAAAGCCCGGGGCUCAACCUCGGAAUUGCAUUUGAAACUGGCAGACUAGAGUACUGUAGAGGGGGGUAGAAUUUCAGGUGUAGCGGUGAAAUGCGUAGAGAUCUGAAGGAAUACCGGUGGCGAAGGCGGCCCCCUGGACAGAUACUGACACUCAGAUGCGAAAGCGUGGGGAGCAAACAGGAUUAGAUACCCUGGUAGUCCACGCCGUAAACGAUGUCUACUUGGAGGUUGUGGCCUUGAGCCGUGGCUUUCGGAGCUAACGCGUUAAGUAGACCGCCUGGGGAGUACGGUCGCAAGAUUAAAACUCAAAUGAAUUGACGGGGGCCCGCACAAGCGGUGGAGCAUGUGGUUUAAUUCGAUGCAACGCGAAGAACCUUACCUACUCUUGACAUCCAGAGAACUUUCCAGAGAUGGAUUGGUGCCUUCGGGAACUCUGAGACAGGUGCUGCAUGGCUGUCGUCAGCUCGUGUUGUGAAAUGUUGGGUUAAGUCCCGCAACGAGCGCAACCCUUAUCCUUGUUUGCCAGCGAGUAAUGUCGGGAACUCCAGGGAGACUGCCGGUGAUAAACCGGAGGAAGGUGGGGACGACGUCAAGUCAUCAUGGCCCUUACGAGUAGGGCUACACACGUGCUACAAUGGCGCAUACAGAGGGCGGCCAACUUGCGAGAGUGAGCGAAUCCCAAAAAGUGCGUCGUAGUCCGGAUCGGAGUCUGCAACUCGACUCCGUGAAGUCGGACAUCGCUAGUAAUCGUGAUCAGACGCAUCGUAAUGG
rnacentral:rRNA from 1 species